rnacentral:tRNA from 1 species
UCCACAGUGGCUUAAUGGUAAAGAAUCCACUUUCAAUGUAGGAGACACAGGUUCGAUUCCUGGGUGGGGAA